CCUAUAAAAAGAUUUCAAUCUGAUGCCAAGCAAGAUCACACUCACAUACCUCGUCAAGCUCAAACCUGCCAGCAUGGAUUCAGUGGGAGUGAAUGCGAUUGAAACAGCAGCUCUUGGGAGACCCUUCCAGCUCGGCAUGCUGUAUGACUGCAGAAAGGACGCGUUAAUACCAGGUAUUAGACUUUGGAACAAAGAACAGCUGCAGCAGAAUAUUUGCUCUUGUGCCCAAAUUAAUACAGGAUUCAAAGUCACAGCUUCAGACUCCAUUCAGGACAAAUCUAAAUUACUGAAUAUUGAUGGUGGGCUUAUACUGAGUAUUUUAGGUGAUCUUGUCCAUGUUAGUGGAGCAGCAAAAUAUCUCAAUGACAUCAAGAAGUCUUUCAUACAGCAGAGACUGACGCUACAUUAUCAUUCAACCAGCAGAUUUGAAGAACUGACUGUGAAUCAUUUGCCUUCUGGAAAUAUUCCUGACGAUGAUAAUGAUAUUGCUACACAUGUAGUGACAGGAAUACUGUAUGGAGCAGAUGCCUGCUUUGUGUUUGACAGAGAAGUUUCUUCAAAUGAGGACAAAAAAAAAAGUACACGGAGAAGUAAAAGUGGCCCUUGAGAAACUGCAGGGCAUCGUUUCAGUGGGUGCAAAUGCUGAUCUAAGUGCGAAUCACAAUCAGCAAACUGCAGUCAAAAAAU